rnacentral:rRNA from 1 species
AAACUCAAAGGAAUUGACGGGGACCCGCACAAGCGGUGGAUGAUGUGGUUUAAUUCGAUGCAACGCGAAAAACCUUACCCACCUUUGACAUGUACGGAAUUUUCCAGAGAUGGAUUAGUGCUCGAAAGAGAGCCGUAACACAGGUGCUGCAUGGCUGUCGUCAGCUCGUGUCGUGAGAUGUUGGGUUAAGUCCCGCAACGAGCGCAACCCUUGUCAUUAGUUGCUACAUUUCAGUUGGGCACUCUAAUGAGACUGCCGGUGACAAACCGGAGGAAGGUGGGGAUGACGUCAAGUCCUCAUGGCCCUUAUAGGUGGGGCUACACACGUCAUACAAUGGCUGGUACAAAGGGUUGCCAACCCGCGAGGGGAGCUAAUCCCAUAAAGCCAGUCGUAGUCCGGAUCGCAGUCUGCAACUCGACUGCGUGAAGUCGGAAUCGCUAGUAAUCGUGGAUCAGAAUGUCACGGUGAAUACGUUCCCGGGUCUUGUACACACCGCCCGUCACACCAUGGGAGCGGGUUCUGCCAGAAGUAGUUAGCCUAACCGCAAGGAGGGCGAUUACCACGGCAGGGUUCGUGACUGGGGUGAAGUCGUAACAAGGUAGCCGUAUCGGAAGGUGCGGCUGGAUCACCUCCUUUC